rnacentral:lncRNA from 1 species
GAAGGGGAGGUGGCUGGACCCAGGAGGUUCAACAUGAAAAUGAUUUGAGGGUUGACUCCUCCCGCUGUUGGUUCUGUGUUAUUGUUGGUAGCCAGUAAGACAGCCUGGCACAGUAAAGUACUAGGUUAAAGGCAGCUUCGUGCAGCUGCCCCUGUGUCAAAGCAAGGGUCCACAGAAGCAGGAGGACUUCUGAUGGAGACGCUCCACUUAGAGGCAGGCAGGCAUGUGUCAGAGCCCUUCAUACAUUGGGAAACUAAUUGUUUGCAUUGCAAAUAUUGGCAUUCUGGGGAUCUCAGUAAUGAACCUGAACCUUUGGCUCAUGCUCAUGGACAAUUACUCAGCAUUUUCUACCACAGCAAAAGCAAAAGAAUAAGAAGGAACAACCUACAAUGUAGGAUUUAAAUAUUAAAAAGACACAUUUGUCUAAAACAUACUCUACAGAAAAAAUUUGUAUCUAUGAAUUCUCAUUUGUUAAAGCCUUGCAUCAUACCAUAUUGCUGGUUCAACACCACAAAGAAAUCAAUAUAUUCUUUACUCUUUUUUUUUGAAACAUAUAUGCUGUAUAGGUUUUAAAGCAAUAUGAAUGAGAGGUUGUGCUUUUAGUUACUCACCACUAUAGAUCCAAGUGUGAUUUCACCUUCCUUUACAUAGAGAUAACCCUGAGACUAGAUCCCUGGAGUUAUGGGCGGAUAUAUGUUGAAAGAUGCGUUUGUCUGAUGUAGGAUGCCAAGAAAUAGGACCCAAGGCAACAAUGCUCAACUCUGUUAACUUCUGUUACUAUAAAUAAAGGCAUGUGCCUAGUUUUGAUACAGAAUGGAAUAUUUUUUAUACUUGUGAUAUCGCCCUGGACCAGUUUACUGUAACAAAGCCCUUGGUUUCUUCAGAAGGUGGUGUGCCACAAUUUGUACCUGUAAAAUGCAAGGCCUGAAUGGAAGCUGAUGUUCCUCUUUCAAAACACGGCAAUCCGAUCAAGACAAGCUUGCAUGUACCCCAGACUGACUGCCCUUCUCCAGAUGGCCAAGGUCUUUAAUACCUCUUCUCCCUCCCCCUCCCUCAUCUCCCUGGAAAACAUUCUGAAUAGGAAGGAGGGAAAGAGCUGGAAAUACUAACUCCCCCUAGACAGCUCACAGAGAGAGGAAAGAUUUGGUACUCCCCCAUUCCUGCCUCCUUUCCUGAUGACACAAUUGAAAAGAUCCCUCAUUCUCUAGCUCUUGCCUUACUCACCACUGUCACCUCCCAGCUGCUGUCCUACUUCAUCAAUGAAUGCUCUCUCCAGGGAAAAGUCUCCUAUUCAUUGGUACUCAGACAUUCUUGGGUAAUUGUUAAACUGGAAAUUGCUUUUUAAAAAAGCCCUCCAGCUUAUCUCACAUAACACUUUAAAAGUUAAGACUUACCAUUCACAUAAUCACAAGCUGACAGCAAUCUGCAGGUUGAGUGAUUCUGAUUUUUUUUUUCUCUCUCUCUCUCUGGUAGAAGCAGGUGGGUUGAUAUAAUGCCAGCCUUAAAUAGAAGCUUUAUUUAUAGCUUUAGCAGAAUGAGCAAAGAGCUGGCAUAAUCAAGAGAGGACUGCAUAUUUUAAGGAAGGCCUUACCUUUAAUAUGCAAAAUAGCCAUUAGAAGACCACAAAAAUGCAAAUUUACAUUCUCCUAAAUUGGUUAACUGUAUUAAUUCCAAUAAAGUUCAAAAGAUAACUUUCCACACUGCAAAUGGGUCAAAGUUGUGCCUAUUCUACAAGGACAAAACAAACACAAAACAGAAAUUUGGUUGCUAUGUUAACUUUCUUCAUUUCAUUUUGUUGCACACCUCCAAUUCUAAAUUGCUUUCAUAUUUUUAAUCUCCACUAUGAUGAAAUCAAUACAAUGUGUAAUACCAUUAUAAUCAACAAAUAAUGACCAAGCAGGGGAGUAAUUCAGACUUGCAAAAAAAAAGUCAGUCUUUACAACAGUGUGUCGAACAGCACACUGAAUCAUAUAUGUAUCUAUGUGACGGCAAGAGAGAGGAACUGAGUCAUGAGCAACCUUUUUUAGAGGCUGUUUGCAAGAAAACAUGCUCUUUUCCUCCCCAGUUAUAAAGUCAGAUGUACCCCACACGUGUGUUGCUUUGACAUGCAAGUCAUUUGUCUUAUAUUUUAGUUUUUUCCUUUUCCAUAUGGUAUGAAAUGCCCCAAUAAUUUAAAAGCUAUUGUUUAUAUAUACAUAUAUAAAUAUAUGGGGGGAGGGUGAUUUGAUUUCUUUUUUUAAGUGUUUAAAAUGUAACUGUUUUUAAAGUUGAUAAGCUUGAGCUGGAGGGGCGGGAGAAACAGGAUGUGUGUCUGUGUUUUUCUUUACUGUCUUAUCAAAAUCUUAUUCUGGGAAAAUCCCAUGAUUGGAAGCUACUAACCAACAACCUAUAAAACUUUUUUUUAAAAUGCCUGAUAGCUUGUUUUUGUUCUCAAAAAAAUUAGUGCUAAUGACAAAAGUAUCUUGAUUUAGGUUUGUGUCUCAUUGGCUACUCUUAAUGAUUUAUUGUGGGCAUGUUUUAUUUUUAACAUGUAAAAACAAGUUAACUUAUUUUAUUAACAUGUAAAAUAAGUUAAGAACACAUGUUUUCUUUACUGAUGUAAAGGGCUUAAGCAUUUGACAUCCCAACUAAAUCCAUGUGCGUAUUAAAGAAAUGAAAUGUAAUAAAAGAUCACUGAAAUCAUUGAUCAGAAAAUAAUUCCUUAUUGAGACAGGUAGGUUAUACAAGCCUUACCAGGAACACGAAGUUGCUUAAAUGUCUUCAACAUUCUUAUUCCAAUGAAUAAUCUUCAAAUAACUCCAGUCAGAGAAGCAUCAGAGCCAGUGGAUUCUGGUUCUAAUGCUAGAGUGAGUAAAACCACUCAGAGAGGAAUCAGAGUCAGGCUUUCUGGUUCUUCAUAAGCAAAAUGACCAAGGGGCUGUGAUUUGACCAGCUGAAUAUCCAAAUCUAGGUAAUACCAACCACACUAGGAAGAUAUUCUACUUUACUGAAGGUAAAUACUGUAUCACUUGUAAAAUCAUCUCAUCCAUUUGAUUCAGUGACAUAAGCAAGUAACAGCCAUGACUUUAGGUAUGAAAUAUGUUUGAGCAAGAACUGUAGGGUUCACCAGCCAUAUACACAUCAUCAUUAUCUGGUAAUUCUCUCUGAGUUAGCUUUCACUCAGUCAACUAUCUGUGAUCAAGAUAGGAAGGCACAAAAAAAUCAGCAAGAGGAAAAUCUUUUCUGGCAUCCUCAGGAAAACUUAUAACAAGGGAAGUAAGUUUAUCUAGUGUUAAAGAGGGAAAGAAUUGAAAAUGUAAAAUUGCACCUGUGCAAUCUUUCUUCUGGGGGCAGAGGUGCUCUCUCCUUACCUUUGGUGCUUAAAGGAGUGGGUGUUAGGGAGGUGUGCUCAGGUAGCUUUCAUCCUGCUGAAUCAUCUUCACCCCCUAGCACCUUGGACGCCUUCCAGGGAAGAGGGAGGAGGUAGAAAGCUGGGAGAAUGGAACCUGGAAGCCAUACUGAUAAAUGACAAGAGAGCCCAAGACUCACCUCCAGGCAGCAGCAGAUGCUCCAAUUCUGAGGCUGCUAGCAAGAAUUCACAAAAGGCUCCCUUGCUAUUCUUUCAUUGCAAAAUGCAAUGCUUACCACCAGAAAGGGAUUUCCUUCUUCUGGAAGGCUUUCUGGUAUUGCCACAGCUGUGUGCCUAAGAGUCUCAUGGCUGACAGUGGGCUUUCAUUUUCUACCACUGAACUAGCAUGACCAAAACAGAGAAAGAUUUUCCGUGAACAUAGUUUUGAAUAUAAUGGGAAUACACCUCUGCCAACCAAUGUAUCACAAGUUAGACUCUCCAGUAAAUUCCCUGAUCAGGGGGAAGAGAGACUCAAUAGUCCAGGACUUGUCUUUAAACAAUGAUAAGAGGGAAGAAGACAAUAUAAGGAAAUCAAAUUUUUAAGUGUGAGCUAAAUAUACUUUUCACUCAGGAGCCUGGCUUCCAGCUCUGUCGCUAUAAAGAUAUCCUGGCCAUGAGUUGUUUCCUAAAUUUAGAAGUGCACUAUUGUUUGGGGUUUCUGAGUGGACGUUGGGGGGUCAUUGGUCUUUUUCUCCCUCUCAUUUUCCUUGGUCAUGUGCAUACUGCUCCAGCUAACUGGCUGUUCAUGUUUCUGCCGUCAUUCGGUGUAGUUGAAAUAAAAGGCUAAGUUUAUUAUAGAACCAAUAUUCUUUUCAUAAUUACCUCAUUGUCAGACCUAAAACCCAGGACAUGAAGGUUCACGUGGAAUAAGGCCAAGUUAAGGAGGACAUUGAGAAACCUUAAUGGGAUUUCUAAGGGGAAAUUUACCACCCACCAGUUCUGCCACUGAUGGGUAGAAAAUCUGAAAACGCUGCCUUCUAGGGCUUGUCACUCUGGUGCCUUUCAUCAACUCUUAUAAACAAUUAAAUGUAAAAAUUAUGACCCUCUUUUAAAAGAAUUUGGAUUUGGGAGGAAAUCUCUUGUUAUAGCUAUACAGGCAUUGUUUCCUUCUAUAAUAUUCUGAAAUUGGUAAGUGAGGACAUGAAAACACAUCCAAUCUCUCUAUACAGUACAUAUGGCUUAAUGCCAGAUACACACUCACGCACACACACACAUAUAUGUAAUAUAUAUAUUACGAAGAACCAUUUGGACAAAGAUAAGGAAAAAUAAAAGGCAGAUGGAAAAUAUAUGGCUUAUCUGAGGAUUCUCACUAUUCUAUUUACCUCUUAUGAGGAAGACUAAGACUAGAACUCAAUCACUAAGAAGAUAGAGUCUGAAAGAUGAAAAUCCAAGAAAAGUCUCUGUGAAAAACAUACUACUGCAUAGAUUACCUCUUUACUCAAAAGACUUAAAUCUUAUGUAUGAUUGCAGAAGUUCGUUGUGUAUUAAAUAUAUUGAACAAUUUUGUUCAUUGUCCCAUUGGGAGAUAAAUCCAUUUACCAGAUCUUCCUCUAAGACAGAGGUACCAUUUAUAUGAAACUUUUCUAACCACAGCAUCACUCAUAUUAUUCUUAAGGACAAGAGAUCAAGCAUACUAGCACCAUAGCACAGAGGCAAUUCACCACAUUUCAUCUCUUCUUUUAGUCAUGUGCUAUUAGCUGAAUGUACAAAAGUCUAAUAGUUUAUGUCAUAUUAAAUAUAUUCAGUGUUCUCAUGAAAGUUAGAUAAACCUUUUUUUAAGCACAUACACACACAAAUCCAUACCAUGGUGUCUGGUUUCUCUAAGCUUCACUGUCUUAUCAGUUCAAAUGUCCUGCUGGGAAUUAAUUUACUGAGCACAGAAAAAAUACAAAUGCGAAGUGAUUCCCAAGUCAGCUCUACCAUCUUGACUUACAUAACCUCUCCUAUUUUAGUAACACCUGGAGAAUCCAGUUGCCUCUACUUGAGUGCUCUCAAGAGCCUUCCACAGCAUUGCAAUUAAAAAAAAAAAAAAAAAAAAAAAAAAAA